AAGAACGGAACCCUUAAGGAUUCGUCAUGUCUGUCUGUCCGUCCGUAUGUCACAGCCACUUUUUUCGAAACUAUAAGAACUAUGCUGUUGAAACUUGGUAAGUAGAUGUAUUCUGUGAACCGCAUUAAGAUUUUCACACAAAAAUAGAAAAAAAAAACAAUAAAUUUUGGGGGUCAUCAAAAAUGAUAUUGAGGUUUUUAAUAUAAUUUUUUUCUAAACUGAAUAGUUUGCGCGAGAGGCACUUCCAAAUAAGAGAAUGAUAAAACUAAAAAAAAUAUAUGAUGUAUAUUACCAUGCAAACUUCCACCAAAAAUUGGUUUGAACGAGAUCUAGUAAGUAGUUUUUUUUUAAUACAACUCAAACUCAAAUUUUUUUUUUCAUCAAACCCAUACGUGUGGGGUUUCUAGGGAUAGGUCUUCAAAAAUAAUAUUGAGGUUUCUAAUAUCAUUUUUUUCUAAACUGAAUAGUUUGCGCGAGAGACA